AGGACGAACGCUGGCGGCGUGCUUAACACAUGCAAGUCGAGCGAGGCCCUUCCUUCGGGAAGGUGCCCUAGCGGCGAACGGGUGAGUAACACGUGGGCAACCUGCCCCUAGCACUGGGAUAACUCCGGGAAACCGGGGCUAAUACCGGAUAUGACCUUUGAGGGCAUCCUCGAAGGUGUAAAGGAUUCUGGCUAGGGAUGGGCCCGCGGCCUAUCAGCUUGUUGGUGGGGUAAUGGCCUACCAAGGCGACGACGGGUA
rnacentral:rRNA from 1 species